rnacentral:misc_RNA from 1 species
UCCCGUUUAACACGGGCAGUCUCUCUAGAGUGCUCAACUUAAUGGUAGCAACAUGGAACGGGGGUUGCGCUCGUUGCGGGACUUAACCCAACAUCUCACGACACGAGCUGACGACAGCCAUGCAGCACCUGUGUUCCGGUUCCCUUUCAGGCACAGCCACCUUUCAGCAGCCUUCCAGACAUGUCAAGGGUAGGUAAGGUUUUUCGCGUUGCAUCGAAUUAAUCCACAUAAUCCACCGCUUGUGCGGGUCCCCGUCAAUUCCUUUGAGUUUUAACCUUGCGGCCGUACUCCCCAGGCGGUCGACUUCACGCGUUAGCUUCGUUACUGAGAGUGUCAAACCCCCAACAACCAGUCGACAUCGUUUAGGGCGUGGACUAC